GACGAACGCUGGCGGCGUGCCUAAUACAUGCAAGUCGAGCGGACCGAUGGGAGCUUGCUCCUUUAGGUUAGCGGCGGACGGGUGAGUAACACGUGGGCAACCUGCCCUGCAGACUGGGAUAACUUCGGGAAACCGGAGCUAAUACCGGAUAACACCGAAAACCGCAUGGUUUUCGGUUGAAAGGCGGCUUUUAGCUGUCACUGCAGGAUGGGCCCGCGGCGCAUUAGCUAGUUGGUGAGGUAACGGCUUACCAAGCCUUCGAUCAGUAGGGGUUCUGAGAGGAAGGUCCCCCACAUUGGAACUGAGACACGGUCCAA
rnacentral:rRNA from 1 species